GCAACAAGGAAGUGGAGACAAUGUUUUGCCUCCUCUCUGAGCCUUUAUCAAGUCUAAGAGAGGAGCCGAAACAUUGUCUCCACUUCCUUGUUU